GGAGGCGUCGCAUAGUGGCCUAGUGCGCUCGCUUGGAAAGCGAGUAUGCCUUUACCGGUAUCAGAGGUUCGAAUCCUCUCGCCUCCG
rnacentral:tRNA from 1 species